ACGGAGGGUGCAAGCGUUAUCCGGAUUUAUUGGGUUUAAAGGGUCCGUAGGCGGGCCGAUAAGUCAGUGGUGAAAGCCCAUAGCUCAACUAUGGAACUGCCAUUGAUACUGUCGGUCUUGAGUACAAGUGAGGUUGGCGGAAUGUGUGGUGUAGCGGUGAAAUGCUUAGAUAUCACACAGAACACCGAUUGCGAAGGCAGCUGGCCAACUUGUAACUGACGCUGAGGGACGAAAGUGUGGGGAUCAAACAGGAUUAGAUACCCUGGUAGUCCACACCGUAAACGAUGAUUACUAGAUUUUGGCCUUAUGGUCAGAGUCCAAGCGAAAGUGUUUAGUAAUCCACCUGGGGAGUACGUCCGCAAGGAUG
rnacentral:rRNA from 1 species